rnacentral:lncRNA from 1 species
CCAUCUGUGAGUUUUUUGAGAGUGUCUCACAUCUAAAACUCCUUCUCCUACUUUUCAUCUUUGGAAGAGUCCAGAUCAAGGAGGCAUCUAAUCGACCUUUGAAGAAGGAUCAGCAUAGUACUAGCAUACUAUGCUGAUUUUCUGGACUAAGACUUCUGAUCGUGAUUCGUGAGCUCGUGUGGAUGACUCUUAGAGGUCG